AUUGAACGCUGGCGGCAGGCUUAACACAUGCAAGUCGAACGAACCCUUCGGGGUUAGUGGCGGACGGGUGAGUAACACGUGGGAACGUGCCUUUAGGUUCGGAAUAGCUCCUGGAAACGGGUGGUAAUGCCGAAUGUGCCCUUCGGGGGAAAGAUUUAUCGCCUUUAGAGCGGCCCGCGUCUGAUUAGCUAGUUGGUGGGGUAAUGGCCCACCAAGGCUACGAUCAGUAGCUGGUCUGAGAGGAUGACCAGCCACAUUGGGACUGAGACACGGCCCAAACUCCUACGGGAGGCAGCAGUGGGGAAUCUUGCGCAAUGGGCGAAAGCCUGACGCAGCCAUGCCGCGUGGAUGAUGAAGGUCUUAGGAUUGUAAAAUCCUUUCACCGGUGAAGAUAAUGACUGUAGCCGGAGAAGAAGCCCCGGCUAACUUCGUGCCAGCCGCCGCAGUAACAC
rnacentral:rRNA from 1 species